rnacentral:misc_RNA from 1 species
AACUUUCGGCAACGGAUCUCUUGGCUCUCGCAUCGAUGAAGAACGCAGCGAAAUGCGAGACGUAAUGUGAAUUGCAGAAUUCAGUGAAUCAUCGAAUCUUUGAACGCACCUUGCGCCCCUCGGCUAUUCCUUGGGGCAUGCCUGUUUGAGUAUCAUGAACACCUCAACUCUCAUGGUUUGCCAUGAAGGGCUUGGACUCUGGGGGUUUGCUGGCCAUUUCAGUUGGCUCCUCUCACAUUAACUAGCUUGCCAGUGUUUGGUGGCGUUACGGGUGUGAUAACUAUCUACGCUCGCUGUCGUCUGCCAGGUAACCUUCGUCCCCGAAGGUUUGCUGGGGCUUACAAACGUCUCUCCUUAGCGAAGACAGCUUUUGAACGUUCGAUCUCAAAUCAGGUAGGACUACCCGCUGAACUUAAGCAUAUCAAUAAGCGGAGGCU